AAUAUUAGUAAUCAUUUAUCUCUAAGCUUGCCACUCUACUUUAAAGCAAAUACACAUAAUUUGAAUGUUAUCUGGUGCAAUAGAGAGAGAUUUAACUAGGAGGGAAGGUAUCAUUGCUUCUAUGAUCAUUUCGAAGAAAGAGAAAGAAAGAAAAAGAACAAAUGGAUGGUCUCAUGCUACUCAAGAAAAUUGGUCUCUUCUUCCUUCUCAUUUCUACUUCUUUCUUGUCCACUUCAUGUGCAGGUCGACAGUCAAGACUUGUAAGCAACUUUGAGAAAAAAGAGCUGGGUGGAACUCAUAAGGAAGUGUCAGUAGGAGAACAAUUACACCAUGAGGAGAUGAAUGAAAUCCAUGAAAGGCUUCUUAAGGCAAACACAAAGGAUUAUGGGAGAUAUGAUCCAGCACCUGCCCUUUCUAAGCCUCGUUUCAAGCUCAUACCCAACUGAUCUAUGUGAUUUCGAGACGAUUAUAUGUAUGGGGAAUCUAUAUAUUUCACCAAGUCUCCAGACCAUUUUAGGGUUUGUUUACCGCUAUUCUAUACGAGUUAAAUUAUGAACCCUAGUGCUAUAUAUGUUUUAAUAUAUGUUUGCAGCUGUAAUAUACUAUCCUUUUAUGUUUAUAUCUUCUCUAUGAACUGGAUGUUCGUACGUCUGUAGUAUUUUCUGUAUGAUUAUAUGAAAAAAAUAAAACUUUUGUAUGUUCUUGCU